GCCAAGUCCCAGAUGUCUCCUUCUGACUCCCUUCCCCUGUCCCCCACCUCCGUCCAGCCCAUAAGGAAUUCCAGUCUGAUCUGCCUUGCAGAACAAAUCUCUGCUACAUGCAGAAUUUCCUUUGAGGUCACCAGAGAGAGUUUCAACAUCAGCUGAAAAUAAGCCUCCAAAGUCCUUUGUGAAUUCAGCAUUUGGCCCUUUGAGACUUGUUACUCAUUAUCAGGCCCAGAAAUCUCAUUCCUUCAUCUCUUUCCAAGAUUGGUAUCUGGUCAACCUGAUAUGUUCAAUGCAAAGGACAAGCUGAUAAUUCUCCUCAUUGAAGUUGUUGACCUCCUUCAAGGGCUUGUCAAUGCCAGGACUGGGAGACCUGAGGUUGUGCAAAGAAGAAAAAGAAAUCACGAUUAUCUAAUAGUUCCUGCUGCAGUCAAGAUGAGGAAACUGAGGCCCAAAGAGGUAUCCAAAAUUCAACCCCCAUC
rnacentral:lncRNA from 1 species